rnacentral:tRNA from 2 species
GGGCGCGUGGCCUAGUCUGGAUAGGGCGGCAGCCUCCUAAGCUGUAGGUCGGGGGUUCGAAUCCCCCCGCGCCCG